rnacentral:rRNA from 1 species
GGGGGUACGGGGGGAUAACGUUCGGAAACGGACGCUAAUACCGCAUACGUCCUACGGGAGAAAGCAGGGGACCUUCGGGCCUUGCGCUAUCAGAUGAGCCUAGGUCGGAUUAGCUAGUUGGUGAGGUAAUGGCUCACCAAGGCGACGAUCCGUAACUGGUCUGAGAGGAUGAUCAGUCACACUGGAACUGAGACACGGUCCAGACUCCUACGGGAGGCAGCAGUGGGGAAUAUUGGACAAUGGGCGAAAGCCUGAUCCAGCCAUGCCGCGUGUGUGAAGAAGGUCUUCGGAUUGUAAAGCACUUUAAGUUGGGAGGAAGGGCAGUUACCUAAUACGUGAUUGUUUUGACGUUACCGACAGAAUAAGCACCGGCUAACUCUGUGCCAGCAGCCGCGGUAAUACAGAGGGUGCAAGCGUUAAUCGGAAUUACUGGGCGUAAAGCGCGCGUAGGUGGUUUGUUAAGUUGGAUGUGAAAUCCCCGGGCUCAACCUGGGAACUGCAUUCAAAACUGACUGACUAGAGUGUGGUAGAGGGUGGUGGAAUUUCCUGUGUAGCGGUGAAAUGCGUAGAUAUAGGAAGGAACACCAGUGGCGAAGGCGACCACCUGGACCAACACUGACACUGAGGUGCGAAAGCGUGGGGAGCAACAGGAUUAGAUACCCUGGUAGUCCACGCCGUAAACGAU